UGAAAUAAAUGCUGUCCAGCCAGAUGUCGGGACCACAAAUCAAAUCAAUCAUCCUGCGAUAAGGACGCCAAAUAUACAUUUUUUUCAACUUUUGUAUAUAUUUAGGAAUGACCACUUCAUUGUUUAAUAUAUGAGUUGUACGGUUAUCAUCGAUGACAUAAUUCGAAGAUAAGAAGCAGAGCGAAAAUUAUAUUAUCAGAACAAAGUGCAAUUAAUGUUAUCCUGCGUCCUGCAUUCCAGUCGGGAUUGGUCAUCGUUAAAAAAUCAUCCCGAGUAAAAAUUUGGUCCGAUUUCCGGCAGAAAUUUGGUCCAAUUUACUGCAGACAAACUGCAUGCAGGGCGAUUUGUGCAAAUAAUUGUGCAGAAAUAGGAUAUACAAAAAAUAUGCAAGAUCAGUGGCCGCGGAAGCCGUGGGGACAUCUUGGGACAGUAACAUUGCAAGAUAGGGGAUGGAGGGGUUUGUAUAACGUGGGCAGAUGAUGACGAUAUUAAACUAUCGUGGGGACAUUGCCCCUCUCCGCGGCCAAGCUUUCGCCAAUUACAGCAGAAUUCGACACACUGAUUUCUACUCGGGUCAAUUUCAUUCAUUUUAUCAAGUUCCCAACUCAUAACAAGCCAAUAAAUGCAGUAUAAAAAUGCAUGCAUAUCA